rnacentral:ribozyme from 1 species
UUUGUUUUGUUUUUUUCCCUGGUUCUUUUCUUUCUUCGUCUUUUCGUCUGUAUCCAAUUUUUUUCAAUGCAUUCACGAAGAGAUGAUGAGUAGAAGAGAGAAGAGAAA